rnacentral:rRNA from 1 species
GGGUUGUGAGGUUAAGCGACCAAGCGUACACGGUGGAUGCCCUGGCAGUCAGAGGCGAUGAAGGACGUGCUAAUCUGCGAAAAGCGCCGGUAAGGUGAUAUGAACCGUUAUAGCCGGCGAUGUCCGAAUGGGGAAACCCAGUGUGAUUCGUCACACUAUCAUUAACUGAAUCCAUAGGUUAAUGAGGCGAACCGGGGGAACUGAAACAUCUAAGUACCCCGAGGAAAAGAAAUCAACCGAGAUUCCCCCAGUAGCGGCGAGCGAACGGGGAGGAGCCCAGAGCCUGAAUCAGCAUGUGUGUUAGUGGAAGCGUCUGGAAAGGCGCGCGAUACAGGGUGAGAGCCCCGUACACAAAAGCGCACGUGCUGUGAGCUCGAUGAGUAGGGCGGGACACGUGGUAUCCUGUCUGAAUAUGGGGGGACCAUCCUCCAAGGCUAAAUACUCCUGACUGACCGAUAGUGAACCAGUACCGUGAGGGAAAGGCGAAAAGAACCCCGGCGAGGGGAGUGAAACAGAACCUGAAACCGUGUACGUACAAGCAGUGGGAGCCCCACCACUAAGCCAGUGGUGAACUCCACAUACGCAUCCUU